rfam:Candidatus Giovannonibacteria bacterium RIFCSPLOWO2_01_FTLL_45_34 rifcsplowo2_01_scaffold_6087, whole genome shotgun sequence.
GCCCCCAUAGCUCAAUGGAUAGAGCGCAGGCCUCCGAAGCUUGAAAUUCCCGUUCAACUCGGGAUGGGGGCA